UACGUAGGGUGCAAGCGUUAAUCGGAAUUACUGGGCGUAAAGCGUGCGCAGGCGGUUCUAUAAGACAGAUGUGAAAUCCCCGGGCUCAACCUGGGAACUGCAUUUGUGACUGUAGAGCUGGAGUACGGCAGAGGGGGAUGGAAUUCCGCGUGUAGCAGUGAAAUGCGUAGAUAUGCGGAGGAACACCGAUGGCGAAGGCAAUCCCCUGGGCCUGUACUGACGCUCAUGCACGAAAGCGUGGGGAUCAAACGGG
rnacentral:rRNA from 1 species